AGAGUUUGAUCCUGGCUCAGAACGAACGCUGGCGGCAUGCCUAACACAUGCAAGUCGAACGAGACCUUCGGGUCUAGUGGCGCACGGGUGCGUAACGCGUGGGAAUCUGCCCCUUGGUUCGGAAUAACAGCGAGAAAUUGCUGCUAAUACCGGAUAAUGACGUAAGUCCAAAGAUUUAUCGCCAAGGGAUGAGCCCGCGUAGGAUUAGCUAGUUGGUGUGGUAAAGGCGCACCAAGGCGACGAUCCUUAGCUGGUCUGAGAGGAUGAUCAGCCACACUGGGACUGAGACACGGCCCAGACUCCUACGGGAGGCAGCAGUGGGGAAUAUUGGACAAUGGGCGAAAGCCUGAUCCAGCAAUGCCGCGUGAGUGAUGAAGGCCUUAGGGUUGUAAAGCUCUUUUACCCGGGAAGAUAACGACUGUACCGGGAGAAUAAGCUCCGGCUAACUCCGUGCCAGCAGCCGCGGUAAUACGGAGGGAGCUAGCGUUGUUCGGAAUUACUGGGCGUAAAGCGCACGUAGGCGGCUUUGUAAGUUAGAGGUGAAAGCCUGGAGCUCAACUCCAGAAUUGCCUUUAAGACUGCAUCGCUUGAAUCCAGGAGAGGUGAGUGGAAUUCCGAGUGUAGAGGUGAAAUUCGUAGAUAUUCGGAAGAACACCAGUGGCGAAGGCGGCUCACUGGACUGGUAUUGACGCUGAGGUGCGAAAGCGUGGGGAGCAGACAGGAUUAGAUACCCUGGUAGUCCAA
rnacentral:rRNA from 1 species